UCCGCCGAGGGGCGCUGCGACCAGGGGCCGUUCCCAGAACGCCACGGGCCAGGCUCGGUGGGACGGUCCUUCGAAACGGCGCCCGGCAACG
rnacentral:ncRNA from 1 species